UACGGGGGGGGCAAGCGUUGUUCGGAAUUACUGGGCGUAAAGGGCUCGUAGGUGGCCAACUAAGUCAGACGUGAAAUCCCUCGGCUUAACCGGGGAACUGCGUCUGAUACUGGAUGGCUUGAGUUUGGGAGAGGGACGCGGAAUUCCAGGUGUAGCGGUGAAAUGCGUAGAUAUGUGGAGGAACACCGAUGGCGAAGGCAGCCCCCUGGGUCAAGACUGACGCUCAUGCACGAAAGCGUGGGGAGCAAACAGG
rnacentral:rRNA from 1 species